UUCAGUAAAAAUUGUAGUUGUUUAAUGUGUGUGUUCUGCUUCCCUGUGUAAUGCAGAAAUUGUCAACUUCUGUUAAAAAUCUGGAUUGAGCAAGCGGAUGUCUGCAUUAUUCAUAUAGAACCAAACUUCCACCCGGUUUCAGGGAAAGAAGAGCAAACAGGAGGGAGGAAAUAGGAAAGGGGAGGGUCAUCUGGCCAAAGACUUAAGAACGUGUGUUCUCUGUGUCUGAAGAAUUGGGGAAUUCCAGUAGUGUUUGGGGAACCCCCUUCCCUCCUACAAAAGAGCCUUUGACCUUGGGCAUACAGAGUUUGCUAGCCCUUUGUUGGCAUUGUCUCAGAUCCUCACCCCACCUGGUGCAUAGCAGAAGAUGACCGGUUUCUCUGACCCAGAGCUCUCUGCGUUU
rnacentral:lncRNA from 1 species